UUGAAAGUAACGGAGCAAAACUGUUAAUAACCUAUUUAACAAAAGUCGAGAGAACCAGUGUUUAUUCGCAGCGCUGUGAAAGAAACGUUUUUGUGUUCUUUAACUUCUAUUUUACCACCGUGUUUGCUCUGGAAGGACCGCUUCAGGAUGUAACGUUAGAGGCAGUUUGCGCGUUACUUUUAUGCUAACGUUAACGGACAUUAGCUCCAAAGUAACACGACGUUGUGACUGAAGCCUUCGCCUGACAGUCGGCAGAGAAUGCACUUUGGCCCGGACUAUAGAGAGUGCUGCUGAAGGGAUUUUACCAUGUCCAUAAUCACCUGACUUGCGAAAGCAGCUCUUGUAUCGGAUUAAGUAUUGAGUGACACUACAGCUAUCCAAGGUGUUUGCUGAGUUCCAUUGUCAUCAUGACUAAUGUUGAACCUAAAGAGCCAAUUCAAUUGAGCUUGACACCAGAGCUGAUUGUCCUGUGCAGGUGGAGGGCCUCACACAUGGGCAAGACAGCAGAGGCUCUGCGGAGAUCCUAGGAUUUAUGACCUCCAGGAACAACAUGAUGUACACGUGAGACGCAUUCUGCCCUCCCAGUGGACCUGCAAGAGGAUAACUGAUUUCUUCAAGACCUGCAAUUGCAAAGAUGAACCAGAUAUUGCUGACACGCCUGUGGCUGUCCUCACUGUGGUCACUGACGACGCCCCUGCUGCGGUCCACUUCAACCCUGAGAGCGUUUCUGUUGAGUGAGUGACUAUCCAAAUAAACUAAUUUUCACAUUCACCUUUUUAUCAGAAAAUAAUAAUGUCUUGAUGAUAGCAAACCACUGAAGCUGUACCUAAAAGUACUUGUUGAAAGAAGUUUGAAUGUACUCAUGUACAUAAACAUUUUUUUUUCUGUGAAAUAUAGAAAUGGCAGGACAUGUUACAAGUUUUGAUAAUGAUUGUUCAAUAAAGAAAACUUGACUUGUAA